rnacentral:lncRNA from 1 species
GUUUGUGUAUUUGUGUUUGUGUAUUUAUGCAUAUGUACAGCUAGUAUAUGUUUAUGUUCAGCUACAAAUUCAGAUAUCUUGAGAUUGCUCUAUGCAAGAAAUAAUAAUGAAAUACCACAUUAACCCUCUCUGGACGGGUGGUACACCACAGGUACCGCGCAUUCAAGGCCCGUUCGCACGGCUUAUUUAAUUGAUUUAAGCCUAUGCGUUCGAGAGCCUCGGCAUUACAACAUGCACGGCUGGAAUGCCCCCGGCAUGAAUGGGUUAAUAUAAAUGUGACAUAUUUUUUUCAAUGUGGCAUUUCAUUAUUCCAUCUUAUAUGCAAAUGUCUGUACAUGUACAUUGAGUAUAUAUUUGUGUUUGUAUGUGUAUAUGCACAUAUUUUUUCUGUUCUUUUCUUUAUUAAUUCUAUUCUAUAAUUAUUAAUCAUUAAUUCUCUUCCUUUCCAGAUUAGGGACUCUCGGUUUAGCCGAAAGAGGUGGAUCAGAUGGCAGGGAACCACAAGACUGUUUAGGUUGUCGCCUUGUUGGAGGAGGUGGCUGUCUUGCGGCAUCUACUUAUGUCGUCUAUCACGGUUCAAAAAACAGUCAUCCAGUCGGACGGAUUUUCACAUUUCUAUUUGCAGGAGCCCUUGGAGGAAUUGGCAUUUCACGACUGUUUGGACUUCCACCAUUUGAAAAGAAACAGCAAAAUGACAUACCUACUCAGUGAUAAUACUGAUGUUAUCUCUAGUGAAAUGUAAAUACUGCUUUGAAACUUUACUUAUUAAUAUCAUAUGUAUGUAGGAAUGUUUGAAGCCAAUUAAAAUUACAUCCUUUUCC